UUUUUUUUUUCUUUCCUUUUUUUUAGCUGCAUGUUUAAGUUCUCAUGUUUGGUUCAUAUAUGCAUGCCUUCUCUUUUUUCGUCUGAAAUGUGUAGGUGUUGACCUGUAUAUAGACUAUUUAGGAGAAAAUUAUUCUUGCCUUAUUUGUUUUUCCCUAUUUAGAAUUAGAUUACUUUUCCUAUUUAGAUUGAGAUGAUUGUGUAUAAAUAGGAUGUAUUAAUCACAUUGAACACAAAAGAAAUACAGAAACAAUAUUUUCCCGAAUCUGUUCUUGAACUCAACUUGGUAUCAGAGCGGGAUUGGAAAUUACGAAAACAGAGCUCUUAAGGCAGGGACUGUUGCAAGCUAUCGGAGGUUUUCUAGGUGUAGUUAAAGUACACCACCACCCCUAGAAGGAAGACCAGCUGCUGGCGACCCAUUCCCCGAAGUCCGGUGACUGUUCGAGCAAGCGCGUGGGUUCACGCGCCGAUUACAGAUUCGGCCAUUCUCCACC
rnacentral:lncRNA from 1 species